UCGACGGCAGCACGGGAGCAAUCCCGGUGGCGAGUGGCGAACGGGUGAGUAAUGUAUCGGAACGUACCUUUCAGUGGGGGAUAACGUAGCGAAAGUUACGCUAAUACCGCAUAUUCUGUGAGCAGGAAAGCAGGGGAUCGCAAGACCUUGCGCUGAUUGAGCGGCCGAUAUCAGAUUAGCUAGUUGGUGAGGUAAAGGCUCACCAAGGCGACGAUCUGUAGCGGGUCUGAGAGGAUGAUCCGCCACACUGGAACUGAGACACGGUCCAGACUCCUACGGGAGGCAGCAGUGGGGAAUUUUGGACAAUGGGGGCAACCCUGAUCCAGCCAUGCCGCGUGAGUGAAGAAGGCCUUCGGGUUGUAAAGCUCUUUCAGCCGGGAAGAAAUCACAUGGGUUAAUACCCUGUGUGGAUGACGGUACCGGAAUAAGAAGCACCGGCUAACUACGUGCCAGCAGCCGCGGUAAUACGUAGGGUGCGAGCGUUAAUCGGAAUUACUGGGCGUAAAGCGUGCGCAGGCGGUUUGUUAAGAUAGGCGUGAAAUCCCCGGGCUCAACCUGGGAACUGCGUUUAUGACUGGCAGGCUAGAGUAUGGCAGAGGGGGGUGGAAUUCCACGUGUAGCAGUGAAAUGCGUAGAGAUGUGGAGGAACACCGAUGGCGAAGGCAGCCCCCUGGGCCAAUACUGACGCUCAUGCACGAAAGCGUGGGUAGCAAACAGGAUUAGAUACCCUGGUAGUCCACGCCCUAAACGAUGUCAACUAG
rnacentral:rRNA from 1 species